UCCCUUGUAGCUCAGUCGGUAAAGAAUUUGCCUGCAGUGCAGGGGACCCAGGUUCGAUCCCUGGGUUGGGAA
rnacentral:tRNA from 1 species